UUAAGCUAAGAAGAGCGUAGGGAGAAUGCCUUGGCAUUAGGAGCCGACGAAGGACGUGAUAAGCUGCGAUAAGCUGCGGGGAUCAGCAAGUAUGAAUUGAUCCGCAGAUUUCCGAAUGGAGCAAUCCGUAUGUGUAUGCACAUACAUCAUAUACUGAAUCAAAUAGGUAUAUGAGGGGAACCGCCUGAACUGAAACAUCUAAGUAGGGCGAGGAAGAGAAAUCAACCGAGAUUCUGUGAGUAGUGGCGAGCGAAAGCGGAAGAGGCUAAACCAUAGGUAGCAAUACUUAUGGGGUUUCGGACAGCAUUUAGUAUUGAUAAUUUCUAGUUGAAACGUGUGGGAAAACGUACCGAAGAGUGUGAGAGUCACGUAAGCGAAAGAGAGAAUCAGCGAGCUGUAUCCAAAGUACCGCGGGACACGUGAAACCCCGUGGGAAGAUGGGGGGACCAUCCUCCAAGCCUAAAUACUACCUAAUGACCGAUAGCGAAUAGUACUGUGAAGGAACGGUGAAAAGAACCCCGGGAGGGGAGUGAAAAAGAACCUGAAACCCUAUGCUUACAAGCACCGAGAGCACGUCAAAGUGUGAUCGGGUACCUUUUGUAGAAUGGUCCGGCGAGUUAUUGUAUGCGGCAAGGUUAAGUGCUUAAGGCACGGAGCCGAAGCGAGAGCAAGUCUGAACAGGGCGAAAAAGUCGUAUGCAAUAGACCCGAAACCGAGUGACCUAUCCAUGUCCAGGCUGAAGUGGAGGUAAAACUCCAUGGAGGGCCGAACACACGUCCGUUGAAAAGGCCGGUGAUGAGGUGUGGAUAGCGGAGAAAUUCCAAUCGAACUCGGAUAUAGCUGGUUCUCUCCGAAAUAGCUUUAGGGCUAGCCUCGUGAAAGAUUACUGGAGGUAAAGCACUGAAUGGGCUAGGGGUCGAAAGAUUACUGAACCCUAUCAAACUAAGAAUGCCAGAUAAUUGAUUCACGGGAGUCAGACAAUGUGAGAUAAGUCUCAUUGUCAAAAGGGAAACAGCCCAGACCCACAGCUAAGGUCCCUAAACAUUGUUAAGUGGAAAAGGAUGUGGGGUUGCAUAAACAACCAGGAUGUUGGCUUAGAAGCAGCCACUCAUUAAAAGAGUGCGUAAUAGCUCACUGGUCGAGUGACCCUGCGCCGAAAAUUCAACGGGGCUAAACAAUGUACCGAAGCUUGGGAUUCUAGAUUUAUCUAGAGUGGUAGGAGAGCGUCGAAUAAGGGGUGAAGUCAGAGCGGAAGCGCUGGUGGACUUUAUUCGAGUGAGAAUGCCGGAAUGAGUAGCGAGAAUUAUGUGAGAAUCAUAAUGGCCGAAAAUCUAAGGUUUCCUGAGGAAGGUUCGUCCGCUCAGGGUAAGCCGGGGGCUAAGGCGAGGCGGAGACGCGUAGCCGAUGCACAUACGGUUGAAAUUCCGUAGCCACCGAAAGAUUUAAGUACAGGGACGCUUUAGAAGUGAUGUAGCCGGGCGAUGGUUGACCCGGUCGUAAGGGAUCGAAAAUGAGUAGAGAAGUCAUCAUGGAAAGAGACAAGAAAAGCUGUAUGAAUAUCUUAGGUGCCCGUACCGCAAACCGACACAGGUAGAUAGGAAGAAGAUUCUAAGGCCAACGGGAGAAGGGUUGUUAAGGAACUCGGCAAGUUGACCCCGUAACUUAGGGAUAAGGGGUGCUCAAGUGAUUGAGCCGCAGAGAAUAGGCCCAGGCGACUGUUUAGCAAAAACACAGGUCUCUGCUAAAUCGAAAGAUGACGUAUAGGGGCUGACACCUGCCCGGUGCCGGAAGGUUAAGAGGAGAUGUGAGAGCAUUGAAUUGAAGCCCCGGUAAACGGCGGCCGUAACUAUAACGGUCCUAAGGUAGCGAAAUUCCUUGUCAGGUAAGUUCUGACCCGCACGAAAGGCGUAAUGAUUUG
rnacentral:rRNA from 1 species